GAUGAACGCUGGCGGCGUGCCUAAUACAUGCAAGUCGAGCGAACGGACGAGAAGCUUGCUUCUCUGAUGUUAGCGGCGGACGGGUGAGUAACACGUGGAUAACCUACCUAUAAGACUGGGAUAACUUCGGGAAACCGGAGCUAAUACCGGAUAAUAUUUUGAACCGCAUGGUUCAAAAGUGAAAGACGGUCUUGCUGUCACUUAUAGAUGGAUCCGCGCUGCAUUAGCUAGUUGGUAAGGUAACGGCUUACCAAGGCAACGAUGCAUAGCCGACCUGAGAGGGUGAUCGGCCACACUGGAGCUGAGACACGGUCCAGACUCCUACGGGAGGCAGCAGUAGGGAAUCUUCCGCAAUGGACGAAAGCCUGACGGAGCAACGCCGCGUGAGUGAUGAAGGACUUCGGAUCGUAAAACUCUGUUAUUAGGGAAGAACAUAUGUGUAAGUAACUGUGCACAUCUUGACGGUACCUAAUCAGAAAGCCACGGCUAACUACGUG
rnacentral:rRNA from 1 species